GCAUUGCACAGAAUCGGACACAACUGAAGCGACGCAGCAGCAGCAGCAGCAGCAGCAGCAGUUCCUUCCGAACUAAGGGAGUCAAUUAAUAACAGAUGAAGAGUGAACCAUCUCUGAUCAGAAGAUGCUGUAUGGCGGUAACAUCACCACUGGAACACCCCCUCAGGAAUUCCAGGGUGAAAGGAAGUGUGAUAUUUGGUGGGGUGGAUAAAUCCCACUGCCAGGGAGCACUCAACUGGGUACCAUUGAUCCACGCCAGAGACUGGAGUUACACAUGGCCAGUACAGAUUGUGGGGAUGCAGGAGGAGAACCAGCAUUCUCUGCAGAGAAAACAAGGAGCAGGAGUCAGAAGGAAAGAAACAGGGAGAGAGGAGAAAUAUGGACACACUUUUUCUUUUCUAAAAAUUUUAUUGAAGUGUGGCUAAUCUUCAGCGUUGCAUUAAGUUCUGCUGCACAGCAAUGUGACACCAUUAUACACAUACAGAAAUAUAUAUUCUUUUUCUUAUUCUUUUUCAUGUGGUUUACCACUGGAUAUUUAAUAUAUUUCCUUAAGCUCUACAGUAGGACUUGUUGUUUAUCAUUCCUCUGUACCCCCAACUCCCAGUCCUCCCCUCCCCCACACCCUUCCUUAUGGCAACCUCAUGUUUUGGCCCUUUUUGGUUGUGGAUGAACUCUCAUAUCCCUUGCUAAGGAGAAAAUCCCUUGAUACUUACCAAAAGAGGGAAAUAAAACAAAGAAUUUUGCUGGGUCUGGAUAUUUGUGGGAGUCGCAGGUAAGGGCUCAGGCUGAAUGGUGUGUGUCUCUGACUCCCCCAGGAUUCUGGAGGCCACUGCCAUACCACCUUUAAAGAGAACACAGGGAGGACAUCUAGAAAGACCUGGAUGCUGGGUGACGCCUUCCUGAGGCUGUAUUUUUUAGUCUUUGAUCAAGGAAAUUACAGGAAUCACCUGGCACAGGCAAUAUAAAUGCUUGGAGUGGUUCAGGAAUCAGUAAGGCCACUCUGAGCAAACACUAAAUCACACUUAGGGUACUCCUGCCCAGGAUGCUGGUGAACUGUGUU